rnacentral:rRNA from 1 species
AUUGAACGCUGGCGGUAUGCUUAACACAUGCAAGUCGAACGAUGAGAAAGAGCUUGCUCUUUCGAUUAGUGGCGGACGGGUGCGUAACGCGUAGGAAUCUACCUAUUAGUGGGGGACAACUUAGGGAAACUUAAGCUAAUACCGCAUACGCCCUACGGGGGAAAGAAGGGGAUCGCAAGACCUUUUGCUAAUAGAUGAGCCUGCGUAGGAUUAGCUAGUUGGUGGGGUAAAAGCUCACCAAGGCGACGAUCCUUAACUGGUUUGAGAGAAUGAUCAGUCACACUGGAACUGAGACACGGUCCAGACUCCUACGGGAGGCAGCAGUGGGGAAUAUUGGACAAUGGGCGAGAGCCUGAUCCAGCAAUACCGCGUGUGUGAAGAAGGCCUUAGGGUUGUAAAGCACUUUCAAUUGGAAGGAAAACCUCGAAGCUAAUACCUUCGAGUUUGACAUUACCUUUAGAAGAAGCACCGGCUAACUCUGUGCCAGCAGCCGCCGUAACAC